UACGUAGGGUGCGAGCGUUAAUCGGAAUACUGGGCGUAAAGCGUGCGCAGGCGGUUCGUUGUGUCGGCGGUGAAAGCCCCGGGCUCAACCUGGGAAUGGCCGUUGAAACUGGCGAACUGGAGUGUGGCAGAGGGGGGUGGAAUUCCGCGUGUAGCAGUGAAAUGCGUAGAGAUGCGGAGGAACACCGAUGGCGAAGGCAGCCCCCCUGGGCUGACACUGACGCUCAGGCACGAAAGCGUGGGGAGCAAACGG
rnacentral:rRNA from 1 species